UUUUAGCAUUAUUUGUUCUAGUUCUAUGGAAAUGCUGUUAUUUUGAUGAGAAUUGUAUUGAAUUUAUAGAUUUCUUUGAGUAGUAUGGACAUUUUAGCAAUAUUGAUUAUUCCCAUUCAUGAGCACGGAGUAUCUUUCCAUUUGUUGGUGUCAUCUUCAGUUUCUUUUAUCAAUGUUUUAUAGUUUUCAGAUGCUUUAUUUUUAAAAGAAGUGUACCAGACUGCCUAGUACAGGUGGUGAUGUUGCACUGGGAAAUGGCACGAGUAAGCCCUAACUUCCCCCUUGUAGGAUUUUAUAGUGCUUCUACUGGACUACCCAAGCUAUUUUGUUGUGGUGGUGGGGGUGGGGUGGUGAGGAUGAUGUUCCAUUAGCACCUCUCCAGGUGUCACAGACCCUGAAUAGGGGAAACACUCUGAUACUUCAGGAGUAGGGGGAUGCAAAUAUGUAACACAUCAGCUCCAUAUACAUUCAGAUGUGGAAGCCACAAUAAUACAUCAAACCAACCCAGAGGCCCUCACCCACAAAAUCACUUUAGUUUCACGUCCCUAGUGUCCAGAAUCCGUUAGUUGAAAUCAGGCACUGUUUCCCCCUGUAAGAAUGUGGACAGAGUCCAAUGUGUGUGUGUUAGGAGCUAGAGCAACAGCAGCCAGGAGAGCACUGCUAUCCCUCUGGGAAUACAAGGAUUCAAGAAUGGAGGGGAGGUCAGCCUGUGGGCAAAGUGGGGUGGCUUUUUUCUCCCAUGACUGCUUGCUCUGGCAUCAGUGCCUAAGCUCUGGUGCUACUUCCUCCCUCAAGUCCCUCGUGCCAUUGGAUGGGUGUCUGGGCCCACAGUCCCUGCGUUUUCUGGGCCUGUGCAUGUCGCCACGGUCUUGGUACCUUUGACUACCACUGCACCCAGUACUCCAUCCUUGUCACUGGCCAGGUUGGGCUGAGCCUGAGCCUGGCCGGCUUUGCUCUACUUGGCAAGGCUACGCAUCCACUUCUGUUUUGGAGCAGCUGCUUGCUCCUGGCUCAGAGAGAGCACACUUCUGAUGUUUUUGGUUCACCCAAAAGUAUAUGAUGAAUGGCAAGAUCCUCAUUGCUAGCAUCAUUUUUUUUACAGUUUGGGGGAUUCCUUGACUCAGCAGCCACAACCGCAUUGCUUCUCAGCCACAGAUUUGCUGCCCCAUAGUCAUGAGACUAUCUCUUCCUCUGUCUGCUUGGAGAAGAGUGAGUGAACAACCACCACGGGGGCAUUUGGGCAACUUGUUUCAAUCCUGCUUCUCACCACUUAGCCUCAUUAGCAUGUAGGAUAUUUGGGGACCCUUACUCCCCACUUGCUUUGGGAACAGUUACUGACUACUCUGCAGAGUCUCCUGAUACCCCAAAUCCAGUCCACAGGGGCCUUGCUUGUCCUCUAUCUUCCAGCACAUCAUGUGUCUGUUAGCAUCCCAUCUUCCUCGCCGCCCAGCUGAGAGUGGGGCAGUGGGUCAAUGCAGAGUAUUGAUGGGGAAACUGAAGAGAAGAAAGCAACUCAGGAAAGUCAGGUACUUUGAAGGGGGUAUAGCUGUCAGCCCUGAUUUGAGCCGCACAAAGACACUGAUGUAAGGGCAGAGAAUUGGCACACUGCGUGGGGAAGUGAGACUCAGGAGUAGUCAUGUAUUAUAAAAUUUUGUCCAAGCACAAUUCUCUUUCAUCCGUCCCUGACAAAACUGGCCUUUUCCCUGUCUGAGUCUGCCCUAAGUUAAUUAUCCUAUUCGUUCUUUCAAUGUGCUAAUAACAACUUUUUGGCAAACACAGCCAUGGUCAAAGAACCAUUUGGGGAUGAUUUUUUGAAUCAUUUAUUUAACAAACAAUACCAACAUCCUACUAAGUACUAGGUACUAUGGCAGACACUGGGGAUACAAUGGUGAACAAGAGGUGGACCCAGCCCUCAAAGAGCUCAUAGUCAAUGAGGAGAGAUACUGAUAUAGACGCAGAGUUGACUUGGGCUAUCACAGGUUCCACCUAUACCCAAUCUGUACUCUUGGAAAAUAGCCAGAGACAGACCAACCCCUGGGAAGGGGAUGGGAUGGUGAUCGAAUUGGAGCAUCAGGCAAAUAAUCACGCUGGAAAGUCAUGUAAUAUGUAGGUGGAGAUGUAUGACACAGCAUUGACAACGAGCUUAAAAAUGCAGUUCCUUACAAUGAAAUGUGUAAGAGUCACCAUUAUUUAUCUUCUUAUUCAGGAAGUCCAGGAAGUCAAAGGAAGUGUUUACUGUUUGAAUGGAAAAACAGGGAGGUAUCUUCAACCACAGUCCAAAGGAGAAGCAAUUAUAGAAGUUCUGUGCUCAUGAAAUAAAAACAUUCCACAACUAUGUCGUUUCUCUUCCACACUGAGAAAUUAUGUUUAAAAACUGCUGUAAAUGUUGGUAAUGCUGCUUUGAUGAACCCGAAUUCCUCACAGUGAGGCUAAUGAGGGCGAGUCUGAACCACCCCUCACCCCUUUGUUGGACAAAGAUAUUCCUGAAAAGGUUACACUGUAAAAGUGAGAGCUUGAAGGGGCUUUGAAGAUUCUUCAUUAUACCAUAAGAAGCCUAAUUGAAAUGACUCGAAGACUCACGUAGUUACUUAAUGGAAGAAUCUAAGACAUUCAGAACUGUGCAUUUCCUGAAGUCUCCCAUCAUUAAAAAGAAAAGGAAUUUGCUGGAGUUCCAUCAGACCAGCUGCUCAUGUGGAAUAAACGGAAGAGGCUCAGAAGCACAUGUUGAAUUCCUGCUGAAGCUGGUUAGAGUUGACACAGUGAAGGUGUUUCCAGGGCCUAAUGAAAUUGUACAUGAACCUGAGAAAACAACCAGCUGAAACAUUUCCAAGGAAGACAGGUGUGCAAACUAUUCCUGCUGAGAGUAGGUGCAGUGCUGUUUACAUUACUGCUCUUGGCUGAGCUGAGCUUUGCCAUUUCCUCAGAGUAAAUAUGUGUACGUAUUAGAUAGAGACAGAUGCAUAGGAUUUGAGUGCGGUGGUGCUAUCAUCAGAUCGGAAUAAUAACAGGCUUUGUUGACCCCACAAUACUGGAUCUAUUUUUAACUCUCAGUUUAUUUUAUGUCAGCUUUAGUUUUCUUGGAACUGAGAAAUACCACAUAUUUAACCGCACACUUUUAAGGAAAAUAGUGGUAAUAUAAUGAAUAGGAAAUGUUACUUCCUAACUCCCAUUAAUGAGUGUGCAAGGUCAUUUUUUCCGAUGUCCUUUUUAACUGAGCAGACAUUGAACAAUUUGGGACAGCAUCUUUAGUCCUGAAGUAACUCACUGCAGUUAGCAAGAGUCUGAAAAGACUGAGGGAGAAAAUGAUUAGAAAAGUUUAAAUAUAUUUUGUUUUUAAUAUUUCUGAAAUCUUGAUGAUUAUUAUUUGUUCAGAUGGUAAAUUUAAAGACAUUCUAAAAGCUGAGAAUCAGAACUUGAAGUUUGUAGAGUCUGUUCCCCAAAUUGACAUCAUUGAAAAGUUAGCAAAAAGCGGGCAGUCUACCCUUCAAAUUUCUGAAUGUAGGAGAGAAUGUUGUUAAGCAGUCUGAUCUAUUUAUUAAAUGCAUGAGUAUAAUUAUUUUUAACUACAUAGAUAAAUCAGUGGAAUUUGAGAGGGCUAGAACAUUGAGACCCAAAUUCCAGUGAAUUAUUCAAACCACAAAUGAGUAACUGGACAAAGAAGGUAGCUCUGAAUGGAUCAUUCGAAGUAAAGCAGAGUCAGGUUUUGCCAAAGCUCAGUAAAAGCCCAAAGCUUAGGAUGUACCAGUUUGGCGUGCAAAAAGGAGGAAGCAUUGGGCUUCUGCAAGAUCUUUUCUUAGCUAAGCAAGGGUGAGGCACAUGGACCUUCUGAUUAUACAUGUAUUGGGCAGGUUAAUUACAGUGCCUGCUACCAUGCGUUUUUGUUUUGUUUUUGUUUUUUAAUAGCAGAAACCACCCUGGUCACUGCUUAGUGAAGUAGUAUGUGACUCUAAGUAUGCAGGGGUCAGCUCUGAUGGGAUCAACAUUGAGCACCCAACCCAAGGCCAGAUGGGAAGGACUUUGCCCUACAGGAGGAUAAUUAGCUAAGCCAACCAGACUGGUUCCCUUCAAAAUUGUUUCUAGGGAAUGCAGAGUAAAUUCACAAAAGGAUAGAGUAGACACACAGAUUAAAGCAAUGGUUCUUUCUUUGAAAGACCCUAUGAGCUAUGAGAGAGGUAGAGAGGAGAGUUGCCUCAAGAUGUGCCUCGUAUUCUCACAGCUUUUAAGAUCUGGCACUCACAUAUCUCUGUGUGUUCCCAUUUUUCUUAACAUGGCCUGUUAAAUCUCUGUUUCUGAUAAUCAAGGGUCUAAUGACCACGCUCAAGGGAUAAAAGAUAGCUGCAUAAAAUCUUACAGCCAAUGAAGAGAGAGCAGUUGCUUUAACAUUUUAACAGGACUUUAAGACUUUAACAAGAGAAGUGGAGGGAAAAAAAAGACAAGCUGCAACAUGCCAACUCCUUAACAGCUCCAAACAAAUGCCAGAGACUCCUCCCAGCCAAUCCUUGAUGGCCCCAUGAGACAAUGAUCAUGUUAUGAUCAACUGAAAUCACUGAAGAGCAUGUGCCUAAGAUAAAGACCUAGAAGUUCUAGUAAUUAUUUGAUUCUGGUACGUUGUUAAGACGUCAACAUUUGGCCAGAAUUUAGGAAAUCCUUUCCCUGUGGUAUACAUGUGGUCAAAAAGCUUUUGGUUUUUUGGAACUGUUAUUUAAAAUUUCAAGUACUGUAUCUGGGCAUAAAUUAGAGGCGUUAAAGAUUUGUCUAAUGUUGACAGGUUCAGGCAGAUAAUAAAUAUAUAUUCCACUUAAGGUAUUAUUUUCUGAAGGAUAGUAAAUAUGUAUUUGUGAAGCCUUUUUUAUGGAAUGAACAGAGAAAUAUUUAAUCUUUGCUUUGCCUUAUAGUGGUGGUGGUGGUGGUGGUGGUGGUUGAGGAUUACAAUGAGAGUACAGAUAAUUAUGAAGAAGAAGGUAAUUUCUCUUUUAAGUAGAGAACCAAUUUGGCUCUCUUCACUAGAGCCGUUGCCUAAUCAGUCAGACCAAGAGCCAGAAAGGCAAGGGAAUGGUUAUUUUAUUAAGGGUGUCAGAGAUGUGUACUAAUCUACAAAUGCCCUUAGUAAUAGGCUUUUGGAUUUCACAUAACUUAGAGAAGUAUAGCAUUAUAAAAAGAGAUCAAAAAGAUCACAGAAAACUAAUUGUGCACAGAUUUGUAAAUUAAAUAGUAAGGCCACGCACUUCAAUUACAUUGGCAAAGUCAAUUACAUAUAAUUGCAAUUCUAGCUCAUAUGCUUGCAUAAUUCAAAUUUUAUGAAAGCUUUACUACAUGGAGCAAGUUUCAGCACAUGGAAAUACUUCCAAAGUAAAUCUCUAAUCAUAUCAUACAAUAAAAGUUUUUAAAUUGCUUUUACAUUUAAAAAAAAUUUUUUUUAACGUUAAUUUAUUUUUGAGGCAGAGAGAGACAGAGCAUGAAC